CGAGGAAUCUUGCGCAAUGGGGGAAACCCUGACGCAGCAACGCCGCGUGAGUGAGGAAGGUCUUCGGAUCGUAAAGCUCUGUCAGUUGGAAAGAAAUGUCUGAGAGUCAAUACCUUUCAGGCUUGACGGUACCAUCAGAGGAAGCACCGGCUAACUCCGUGCCAGCAGCCGCGGUAAUACGGGGGGUGCAAGCGUUGUUCGGAAUUAUUGGGCGUAAAGAGCGUGUAGGCGGCCGGAUAUGUCAGAUGUGAAAGCCCCGGGCUUAACCCGGGAAGUGCAUUUGAAACUGUCCGGCUCGGGUAGGGGAGAGGGAAGUGGAAUUCCUGGUGUAGAGGUGAAAUUCGUAGAUAUCAGGAGGAACACCGGUGGCGAAGGCGACUUCCUGGCCCUAUACUGACGCUGAGACGCGAGAGCGUGGGUAGCAAACAG
rnacentral:rRNA from 1 species